GACCCUACCUCGGGGUGCGUGAGAAAUCGCGCUGAGAUGCCAUGUGGCGGACCCGUUGAACCUGAACCGGCUAACACCGGCGGAGGAAAGGUACUGGUUUCACCC
rnacentral:ncRNA from 2 species